AUUCAAAUGUGUGUAUGAAAUCCAAUACAUUUUUUCCAUACGAUGACCCAUCCAUUAUGUUUCAUUUCGCUCCAAAACUAUGUGCGCCCGCACUAUUUCCCGGAGAAGAAGCCGAGAGACAUAUACACAUUGAGCGCGCCAGGGGCCUCCCAUCAUUUUAUAUCCAACGUCUCACACUUGUUCCUUCAUUGCCGUAUGUUUAUCAAAAAAAAAAAGCGGCGUCGCCGGGGGCUAUCAAUCUCAAUUCAUCUCUUUCAUCACUACAACAUCCAUUAUUCUUCCACGU
ensembl:ncRNA F11D5.17 ncRNA